GUUGGUGAGACAACAAAUUUCUCUUGUUUUAAGCUACCCUGUCUAUGGUACCUUGUUACAGCAAUCCACAGAAACGAAUACAAUUAGCUAUCAUUAUUAUUAUUAUUAUGCAGUUUAAAUGCUUAUUGAAUACAAGAAUACAUUCAUGUAUUCUCUUUGGGCUUUUAGGGCCCCUUGGGAGCCUGGGCCCAGAAAGCAAUCUGGUUUGUAGAAUCUUAGGAUGCUUUAUUGGAAUCAUUCUUUUCAUGACAUCAUGGAAACAAGGCCAUAAAUAGCUCCAACCUGGUUCUGGAGGUUUAUGUGAGUCACAAAAACAGCCUACUGAUUCUCUAAUGCCUCCUCGUUCUCAUAACUUAACUCCCAUCACCAUAAGAAGCCAUAUCUCACGACAAGCAACAGGCAUAUGAUACAGAGAGGCGAGAAGAACCAGCCAAGCAGUGCAGCCUCCGUCCCCAUUUCAGAAGGCUUGUCACCAGAGGUCACAGCCUAACUGGUUUUCUCUCUGAUUUAAUUCCUUUUCCCAUGAGCUCUGAAAGAGUUCCACCUGGAAUCUGACUUCAGCCAAAAGCUUGGAGCCAAUUAUAUGACCUAAAAACUUCCUUCAUGUCUUAGAGAAUUUUUCCAUCAAACAUCCUUCUGGUAGUCAUAUCAAUUGGAAGGAAACCUUGCACUCGGAGAUCCAGGAAGGCUCCAGGAGAGAGAGAGAGAAGAAAGGAAGUGCUCAGGGAGAGCUCGGUGAUGGCAGGACCAGCAAGCUCACGCUGGGAUGGCAUCUUCACCACAUGCCUCAACUUGAAGAUGCCCUUUGAUUUAAAGAGUCGCUACAAUGACACACUGCCUGUGGAAAUAUUUCAGACGAUUUCCAGGUUGAACAAGGAGGCAUCACCAUCAGGGGUCCUAAGAUGAUAGCAGAAGAAAGGAAGACAAAAACAUCUCUUAAUCGUGACUCUGUCGAAUAGAACUGAAUUUUAAUUAAGCAACAAGAUGGGAGACACCAUGCAUUUCCAGGCAAUUAUGGAGCACCAUGGGGGGUGUUGUAAACUAGAAGACUGCGGGCUGAGUAACUUUAGAAAUUCACCAAUUCCCACUGAAACAUAAAGCCCAGGAUGCCUUGUUGCCGAUAGGGAGCAAUAUUUGUCAACGAAAAUAAGAGAGAACUCUGGCGACAAGACAGAGAGAGUCAUCGGAGAGAAAAAUUGGAUUCUUUUGUCUAAACAGAAUGAUCCAGAGUUCUUUCCAUCUAGUGCUGAGCACAUGCUGAAUAAUUCCUGAUGGACAGAUUUAAUAUCUUAUCCACAGUCAGCUCUACCCAUGUCAACAUCAGGACCAGUGAAAGAAGGGCAGGGCACAUCUGAGGAGGGAAGCAAGACCUAGAGAGCUAAGGCUGUCUGGGGGGCUAGGAUAGCAAGCCAGCAGGGAAUAAGAAGGCAGCAGAGGAAGGAAAAAUCCAGAGCAAAUCU
rnacentral:lncRNA from 1 species